UUUCGCCCUCAAAUCAGGUAGGACUACCCGCUGAACUUAAGCAUAUCAAUAAGCGGAGGAAAAGAAACCAACAGGGAUU
rnacentral:rRNA from 1 species